rnacentral:rRNA from 1 species
AUAUUGGACAAUGGGUGCAAGCCUGAUCCAGCCAUCCCGCGUGAAGGACGACUGCCCUAUGGGUUGUAAACUUCUUUUGUAUAGGGAUAAACCUACUCACGUGUGAGUAGCUGAAGGUACUAUACGAAUAAGCACCGGCUAACUCCGUGCCAGCAGCCGCGGUAAUACGGAGGGUGCAAGCGUUAUCCGGAUCUAUUGGGUGUAAAAGGUCCGUAGGCGGAACUGUAAGUCAGUGGUGAAAUCUUGCAGCUUAACUGUGAAACUGCCAUAGAUACUGCAGGUCUUGAGUGUAUUUGAAGUAGCUGGAAUAAGUAGUGUAGCGGUGAAAUGCAUAGAUAUUACUUAGAACACCAA